rnacentral:rRNA from 1 species
GAUGAAUGCUGGCGGCGUGCCUAAUACAUGCAAGUCGAGCGGUAAGGCCCUUCGGGGUACACGAGCGGCGGACGGCUGAGUAACGCGUGGGAACAUGCCCCAAAGUGAGGGAUAACGCACCGAAAGGUGUGCUAAUACCGCAUAUGGUCUUCGGAUUAAAGGAUUUAUCCGCUUUGGGAGUGGCCCGCGUACGAUUAGAUUGUUGGUGAGGUAACGGCUCACCAAGUCGACGAUCGUUAACUGGUCUGAGAGGAUGAUCAGUCGGACUGGAACUGAGACACGGUCCAGACUCCUACGGGAGGCAGCAGUAAGGAAUCUUCCACAAUGGGCGAAAGCCUGAUGGAGCAACGCCGCGUGCAGGAUGAAGGCCCUCGGGUCGUAAACUGCUUUUAUGAGUGAAGAAUAUGACGAUAACUCAUGAAUAAGCACCGGCUAACUACGUGCCAGCAGCCGCG